AUACCUGCAAUGAAAAGAAGAGUACCCUUGGCAGGCCGGCACAGAGAGCUUCCAUCCUGGUGCAAGGAAGUGCGGCGAAAAAGGGGAACAUGGCCUUGGAGCAGAUGAUUGAACAGCAGUAGGUCAUCCGGGGGUGCCCGUUACAGCACUGGAGCAUCCGCUUUGGCGUGUGCUCGAGAGGCCUGGCAUGCCAGGCGAAGCCGGGUGGUACCACGAUGCUUUCGUCCCUGCA
rnacentral:ncRNA from 1 species